GUGAUGUGUGUGUAUGUGAUGGGUAUGUGGUGUAUGUGAUGCAUGUGUGUGGUGUGUGUCAUAUGUAACAUGUGUGGCAUAUGUGAUGCAUGUAUAUGUCAUGUGUGUGGUAUGUGUUGGGGGUUUGUGGUGUGUGACAUAUGUAAGGUAUGGAUGUGAUGUGUGUGUAUGUGAUGGGUGUGUAGUACAUGUGUGUGGUGAGGGGGUGGCUACUCACACUCAGAAGCUCUCCACUGUCCCCUUCCUAAGGAAGGCUAUAUACCAGUUGCCCAGGGCAACUCCCUGGGUAUCCUGCCAGCCCACACCCUCCCUCAGCUGGGGAGCAUAAGGCAGGAAGGGAAGGGGAGGUGGGAAGAACCUGGGGGACAAAGGACCUUUGUUGCCCUUCCUCACUCAGGCACAGUCUGGGGAAGACUUUGGCCGCAGCUCACACUAGAAGGCUGUUUACCAGACCUGCUGGAGCCUCUGAAGGGCAGCAGCCAGCUCACACCACAUGCCCUGGAUGGCCAGAAGGCACAGGAGACCACAGAGCAUACGAGUGGGGCAAGAGGAAACCAUCUAUCAACAAACAGGGACCAGAGCAAAUGAAGUUCCAACGUCUUGCUCACGCUCCUGCAUGGCCAGGAGUUUCAGCUGCUCUGAAAUGACUCCCAUGUCUCCUGAUAUAAUUUCUGGCUCACUAUAUAGCCUAAAUAUUGUAAGUACAUCUAUGCCUCUAAUACUCCCCAGAUUUACUGAGAAUCCAUCCAGUCAUUUGUGUAUGAUGAUAAAAUAUUUAUUUAUAGGAAUAAGUUAUUCCUAUAAAUAUGUAAGAUAACUACCUUACAAGUUUUCUCAGUAGGCUUAGUAGAGAUGAACAGAGAGAGUUGGUGGCAGAGCCUUGUAUACAUUCUAUAAUGAAGUUUAUAAAGACCCAACAUUGGUUCUUCCAAGAACAAUUAUUUAGAAAUAACAUGCUUAGGAACAUGGAUGAAACUGGAAACCAUCAUUCUCAGCAAACUGACACAAGAACAGAAAACCAAAUACCACAUGUUCUCACUCAUAAGUGGGUGUUGAACAAUGAGACACAGGGAGGGGAACAUCACACACUGGGGCCUGGGGAGUGGGGGGCUAGGGGAGGUGAGGGAUUGGGGAGGGAUAACAUUAGGAGAAAUACCUAAUGUAGAUGACAGAGCAAUGGAUGCAGCAAUCCACUACCAUGGCACAUGCAUAAAUAUGUAACAAACCUGCACAAUCUGCGCAUGUACCCCAGAACUUAAAGUAUAAUAAAAAAUAAAUAAAUAAAAUAACAUGUUUUUUCCCACAGGCAUCUUUUUCUUCCCAUUUUAUGUCACUGGAAUUAUCUAUACUCCACUCCCUUUAAAAACAGCACUCCUCUUCCUGGUGGACACCAAAGCACUUUGAGAAGAAGGAGGAAUGCAUGUAUUCCUAAACAAUGAACUUCAGAGAAAUUAACAGGCAAAGGACCCAGUACUACCAACAUAAAAAUGAAAAUGUAAAUUAAACCCAAAGAGAAAUGGCUUCUUGGCUUGUCUGCCUAAAAGGGAGUCAAUCUCACUUUGAAUCAGAUCACUCAUUUUUUUCUUCAAUAUUUCAAAAUGUAAAAAUUUGAGAUACAAAUUCAAAGAAGUGACUAUCUACAUUUUCCACAUCCCACUUAUAUCUUAGCCUAUUUUAAACUACUUCUAACUUUUUGCAUAUUUUUUUAAAAUUAAGAAUUAGGACAAUUAUGGAAGAAUAUGUACAUAGAUAAAAGUGAAAAGAUAUUCCUUCUCUUAGAAUCAGCCACCAUGAAUCCUUAGGAGGCCACUGAACAUGUCAGCAAAGAGCAGGAACCAGGCAGAAGCCAGCCUGGCUGCUUCUGGGUCCUUCCUGGUCCAGUCAUGUGUGUCCAGGCAGGACACAGUGGUGCCUCAGUUUCCUCACCUCUAAAUGAAGAUGAUGAUGAUGAUAGUACUUAACCCACAGGGGUACUGUCAUGAGCUAACUCAUGUAAAACACUAGAAUAUACUUGACAUAAAUGGUAAAUAAUAUUACUAUUAUUAUCAUUGUUACUAAAGGUAUAUUUCUGUGCAUAAACAGAGCUAAAAGGAAAGAAAACUAGUCAGAAAAACUAUUAUAAAUGUUAGACCAUUCUAUAGAUUCUAUUUUAUGAAAAUUAUUAUAUUUAAUUUUAGCAGAUUUGAAUUGAAGUUGAAAAUGAAAGGACUAAUUAAAGAGACUUCACUUUGAAAUAAAUGUCUCCUUACCACACAAGUGUUAUUUCCUAAAAGAUCUUUCUAAGUGAAAAAUGAAGAUUAAGGAAAAAGUAACAGAUCCAUUUUAAACAAAUCUUUAUGCAUUAGUUUUAGACGUGGGCUCUUAGCAAUUCUGCCAAGAUCCAAUUGUUAUUUUACGACAUUUAUAAAUGAUUUUCAGGCACAUCAUGUCUGCAAGAUGAUCUGUACCCAUAAUUUUUAUAAUUAUUAAUAACAAGUGUUUAUACUUAAAUGAAUUCAAUCCUCACUGCAAAGCCAUUUAAUACAUUUUCUCCUGCUCACUUUAUUUUUUCAAAAUCCUUUGGUUAGAUGAGACUUAUAUAGAGGUAUUUGUUGUUUGUUUUGUUUUACAUUUUUAUUUAUUUAUUUUCAAAAUUUGUUUAUUUAUUUAUUGAGACAGAGUCUUUCUCUGUCACCCAGGCUGGAGUGCAGAUCUUGACUCACUGCAACCUCUGCCUCCCAAGUUCAAGCAAUCCUCUCACCUCAGCCUCUUGACUAGCUGGGAUUACAGGCAUGUACCACCACGCCCAGCUAAUUUUUGUAAUUUCUGUAGAAAUGGGGUUUUACCAUAUUGCCCAAGCUGGUCUCAAACUCCUGGGCUCAAGCGAUCCACCCACCUCAGCCUCCCAAAGUGCUGUGACUACAGGCAUAAGCCACCGCACCCUGCCUUGUUUUUUAAUUUCCAAAGUGGUUCAAAGAUAUUCACUUCAGUUCUUUCAUAUUUGACAAUGUUUCCUUAUUAUCUUUAGAUUUUGAUGCCACCUUGGCUAUGAAUAACCAAGUGACUCUUUUAGUGACUCAUUUCGCCUUAAGACUUUUUUUUUUUUUUUUUUUGUACAGGCAACCAGUGUAGAAAAGUCUGACGCCAGCUGAAUUUUUUUCUUUGUAGUAGAAACUUUACUUUUCUGCCUGGAUUCAUGGGGGCGGGGAAAAAGCUAUUUAUAAAACACAAUAGCUUAAGUAGUAUGUGUCUCAGUGUUAAGAAUUCUGGAACAUUUUUUAAAAAUAUGGUAUGGUUACUUGUUCUUUGAGAAAAUUGUAAAUAUCAAACAUAUUUUUCCAUUUGUAAGGUUUUUUGUUUUGUUGAGAGACAUCACUUUACCUUAUGUUAAAUGGUGCACAAACAUAUUAGUUUCUCUCCUAUUUUAAUAUUUUUGCCUUUAUCAUUUAUAAUUCUCAGUGAUUAUAUUAGGUCUUUUCUUCAUUAAUUUGAUUUUUUGGCUUUUCCCUGUUCUUUGGUGUUUCUAAUUUAUUUAUUUUAAAAUUCCUUUUCAUUUUCUUAUUAAGAUACUAUUUACAUGCCAUAAAUUCACCUUCUUAAUGCUGCUCAGUUCUUCAUAUUGAUAGAUAGUCAUGUAACCAAGACCACAAUCAAUGUAUGGAACAAUGAUUCAUCUUCAAAAUAUUUGUUCACGCCCUUUUGUGGGUAGAUUGUCCCUCACCAACGGGUCCUGGAAACCACCAAUCUGUUUUUUGUCUGUAUCGUUUUGCAUUUACCAAAAUGUUACAUAAAUGCGAUCAUAUAUUAUGCAGACUUUGGCUUCUUUCAUUUAGUGUAAUACAUUUGAUAUCUAUCCAUGUUGUUGCUGGCACCAGUAGCUUGUUCUUUUUGUUGCUCAAUACUAUUAUGUUUUAUGGAUGUACCACGGUGUGUUUAUCCAUUCCCCUCUUGAGGAGCAUUUGAGUUACUUCCAGUUUGGGUUGAUUGCAAACAUUUGCAACAUAUAAGCUUCUAUAAACAUUUUGGCUGUAAGUUUUUGUGUGAACACAGUUUUCAUUUCACUUUAGUAAAUCUUUUGCCUGUUUUACAACUGGAUUUCUUGUUUUCUUAUUCAAUUUGAGUAUAAGCUCUUUACUGCAGAAAUGAUCUGCAAGUAUUUUCUCCCAGUCUGUAGUUAUCUUUUUAUAUUUUUAACCAGAUUUAUGUGUGAGUUCAGUAACAACUGUGCUUUUACUUAUGUCCUACCAUCUGAAUGUUCUAUUCAACUGCCUUUGAUCAUUUUAUCUUGAGCUAACCUUAAUUUUCAUUCUUACUAAACUGCUCUAUAGCACAAAAUGAUUGCUAAUAAUUUUCCUUCAUCCUGUAUUUUCUUCUUGGUUGGCCUUCUCUUAUUUUUUACACCAUGUUCCUCUGGCCCCUGCCCCCACAUACAUUGUACUUUUGCACCUGAAAGAGGUCAUCUUGGUCAUCAUACUGCAUUUUCCAUCUGGCUUAUGUUUGCCCAACUCUGAUUAGGCACGUUGUUUGCUCUGAUAAAGUCUGGGUUACUGUUUUCUGACUGAUCUAUAAUUUUCAGAUGAGUGAAUAUCUCAUAUUCCACUCCUUUUCUCUACCCCAAGAACACAUUAGAGGUUUAGAGAAUGCUAAAUGAAUGCUGCCAAUGCAUUAAACUAUAAACUCCAUUUUAUUCCCCACUAAAACAAACAAACAAAAAAAACUCCAUUGUAUUUCCAUAUUUGGUAUAACUAGGUGGAGGCCUUGGUUAAGUUCAUUUACUGAGUGUCUAAAAUUCCUUGCCAGAAGAGAAACUUCAUCCUCCAAUCAUACCCAGUUCUCUGAAAUUGGGUAGAAAGUGUGGGAGUACAUUGUAAAAGCAUACUUUUCAACUCUCCCCUGACCCCAGUCCUCCUUCUGGUCUCACCUUGUGUAUGGUGCCUGUACGAGUACUGGGACCCAGACACCCUUCUCUACACCUCUCCAGCAUCCAAGAAGUCACCAACAGGAGCUCCAUCAUUUCUCUCAAUUCUAUUCCCUUCCCCCGUUUCCAGGUACCUCUGUCUUAGAGCAGCCUCAUUGGUGCGGAUUGCUGGGAGAGCUCCCUAACUGGCCUUCCAACCUCCAGUGGUGCCUCCUUUCUGUUGAUUCUUCACCCUGGAGUGCAAAUAUGACACAGUCCCUCCCUUGUUUAGACUCCAUCAAAUGUUCUUGCCUUCACGUCGGGUUCAGUCUCCAUGAAUGAUCACACAAGACUCUCCGUGUGGCUCAAGUUUCACUGUGCUCAUGUCCAGGCCUCAUUACCUGCAUUUCUCAAAACCCACAGUGCAAUUCUAGACCUCAGUGCCUCAGCACAUGCCACUCUCUUUUCAAAGCAGCCUGGCGUGCCCCACCUCCCUCUAAUGCCUGCCUUUGCUGUCCCCUAACUCUUGAUUUCCUUCUCUCAAAGCCC
rnacentral:lncRNA from 1 species